UACGUAGGGCGCAAGCGUUGUCCGGAAUUAUUGGGCGUAAAGAGCUCGUAGGCGGUCUGUCGCGUCUGCCGUGCAAACCCGAGGCUUACCCUCGUGGCUUGCGGUGGAUACGGGCAGACUAGAGGUAGGUAGGGGAGAAUGGAAUUCCCGGUGUAGCGGUGAAAUGCGCAGAUAUCAGGAGGAACACCGGUGGCGAAGGCGGGUCUCUGGGCAACAACUGACGCUGAGGAGCGAAAGCGUGGGGAGCGAACAGG
rnacentral:rRNA from 1 species